CUGUUUUUCUCUCAUCUGUGUUCGAUGUCUCUCCAUUUUCUGGCAUUUAGUCUGAGCUUUGAGCAUGCAAAGCACUUGGGCUUCACCUAUGCUGACAGACCAUGGUAUCCCCAUGUCAUUUUGUGCUUUAUUCACUCUGGCCUUCACAUAUAGCUUGGGCAAAGACUUGUAAAUAGCUAAAAUUGACUGAAUAUGAAAUUGAUCAUAGUCUUCUAUCUAAAAGCAAUCAAAAGAUCUCCCUUUCUUUCUUCAGCAGGCAGAAGAAGUGGAUUUGACUAAGCAAAUUGGUAGGACUAAUUGGCAUCCCUCAUCAAGAGAGACCUCUCCACCCCCAAAUAUAGCCAUUAAAGCAAUUCUAUUUAAAAAUGAUGUUAUGGAGAGGGGGAAGAUGGCGCUGUAGGAGCAACUCAGGAUUGCAGCUCUCAGUGAAGGCACAGAGGGCGACUGAAACACCUGGAAGAGAGUCAACGGUUCAACUUAAACAACAACAACAACAACAAAAGGGCUCUGAGGCAGGGAGCCAGGUGAUCAGGCUUGGUGGGUCCCACCCCCACAGGGACAAACAAAACAGCAAUUGGAAACACUCAAAGUUGAGAGCUUUAUGUCGGGUACAGCUGAACCCAGGGUGGUGCAGCUUGGUGGGGGAGGAGCGUCCACCAUUACCGAGGCAUUUCGCCCCUACUGAGGUAAUCUCCAAUUGCUGAUGCAGCCUGACUUGCCAAGGCAACCCAUCAUAACACAGAGAGUCCGCCAAUACAGAGGUGGGCCAUCAUCACCAUGGCAGUCCUAACCACACCCAUAUAAACAGGACUAUAGGGAACUACACUCGGCAGAAGGGUGGAGCCCACAGCAUCAAGGUGGAGCCCACGACAGCAGGGCAGAGCCCACGGAAACAGGGCAGAGCCCAAGGCAGCAGGGCAGAGCCCACGACAGCAGGGCGGACCCCACAGCAGCAGGGUGGAGCCUUGGCAGGCAGAUAGUGACUAGACUGCUUCCUAGCUGGGUAGGACAGUGCAACGAAUACUCAUAAAUAAAGUCUAACUCCCCGUGACAGAGCAUCUGAGAAAAAAAAGGGGAUUUAUGAGUUUUGCUGCAACAACUUAAACAUACCUGCCUAGCAGCCCUGAAUGUACAAUGGAGCUCACAGCUCAGCACUUGAGCUCCUAUAAAGUACAGACCGACUCCUCAAGCAGCUCCCUGACCCUCAUACAUCCAAAGAGUCACAUCACAAAGGACUGAUUAGACUGACAUUUGGCAGGCAUCAUUCUGGGACAAAGCAGAAGAAACAGGUGCAUCCUCAGCCCAAAAUCUCCUGAAACUGAUAAGCAACUUCAGCAAAGUCUCAGGAUAUAAAAUCAGUGUGUAAAAAUCAAAAGCAUUCUUAUACACCAACAACAGACUUAAAGAAAACCAAAUCAAGAAUGAACUGCCAUUCACAAUUGCUACAAAGAGAAUAAAAUACCUAGGAAUAUAACUCACAAGGAAUAUAAGGGACCUCUUCAAGGAGAACUACAAACCACUGCUCAACAAA
rnacentral:lncRNA from 1 species